GAUGAACGCUGGCGGCGUGCCUAACACAUGCAAGUCGAACGGAAAGACAGUGAGAUCUUGCUCUUACCGGUGGCGGGUGGCGGGCGGGUGACGAGUGCAUCGGACUCUUCUUUUUCGGGGGUGAUAACGUAAGGAAGCUUACGCUAAUACCGCAUAUGACGUACGGGUGAAAGCAGUGGAUAUUCGCAGCUUUCGUGAUUGUAUUAGCCGAUGCCGGAUUAGCUAGUUGGGUGGGUAAAGGCCCAGCAAGGCAACGAUACGUAGCUUGUCUGAGAGGAUGAUCGGCCACACUGGAACUGAGACACGGUCCAGACUCCUACGGGAGGCAGCAGUGGGGAAUAUUGGGCAAUGGGCGAAAGCCUGACCCAGCCACACCGCGUGGGUGAAGAAGGCCUUCGGGUUGUAAAGCCCUUUUGUUGGGAAAGAACAGCUGUAGAUUUAUACCCCGCUGUUUUGACGGUACCCAAUGAAUAAGCACCGGCUAACUACGUG
rnacentral:rRNA from 1 species